ACCCAAAGUUUUUUGUCAGGACAUUUUUCUUUUAUAUUAUCUACAAAAUUGUCUGUUACAACUUUGGAAGAACAAUAGUAUUUCGCUUCCUGAAUUCACGUUUUGUGUUUUCAGAUCUUGAAUCAUCGUUUUGAUGUAUUCAAAUAGGAUUACGGAGGAUCUUAUGAGUUGAACUCGGAAUCACUUUAUGUGAAAUUUUUCUGGAUGAUGUUCGUAGUAAAGAACCUCAUAUUU
rnacentral:snoRNA from 1 species